rnacentral:snRNA from 1 species
CUUAAAAUUAGAAACAUACAGAGCAAAUUAGCACAGCCCUGUGAAAGGAUGACAUCCAAAUUCAUUAAAAUGAGCCAUAUAUUU